rnacentral:tRNA from 1 species
CGCCUGUGGCGCGGCCAGGUGGUGCCCACCGGCUGGCGGCGGGUGCUGGCCGCCGCCGCGUUUCCGUUGUGCGGCGGGCUG